rnacentral:rRNA from 1 species
AACGCGAAGAACCUUACCUGGGCUCGAAGCGCAGUGGAAUCCGGUGGAAACAUCGGCGCCCCUUAAAAGGCUGCUGCGGAGGUGCUGCAUGGCUGUCGUCAGCUCGUGUCGUGAGAUGUUGGGUUAAGUCCCGCAACGAGCGCAACCCUUGUCCUAUGUUGCCAGCGGGUAAUGCCGGGGACUCGUAGGAGACUGCCGGGGUCAACUCGGAGGAAGGUGGGGAUGACGUCAAGUCAUCAUGCCCCUUACGUCCAGGGCUGCACACAUGCUACAAUGGCCGGUACAAAGGGCUGCUAUCCCGCGAGGGUGAGCGAAUCCCAAAAAGCCGGUCUCAGUUCGGAUCGUAGUCUGCAACUCGACUGCGUGAAGUCGGAGUCGCUAGUAAUCCCGGAUCAGCAACGCCGGGGUGAAUACGUUCCCGGGCCUUGUACACACCGCUACAGU